AAAUUGAAGAGUUUGAUCAUGGCUCAGAUUGAACGCUGGCGGCAGGCCUAACACAUGCAAGUCGAACGGUAACAGGAAUCAGCUUGCUGAUUCGCUGACGAGUGGCGGACGGGUGAGUAAUGUCUGGGAAACUGCCUGAUGGAGGGGGAUAACUACUGGAAACGGUAGCUAAUACCGCAUAACGUCGCAAGACCAAAGAGGGGGACCUUCGGGCCUCUUGCCAUCGGAUGUGCCCAGAUGGGAUUAGCUAGUAGGUGGGGUAAAGGCUCACCUAGGCGACGAUCCCUAGCUGGUCUGAGAGGAUGACCAGCCACACUGGAACUGAGACACGGUCCAGACUCCUACGGGAGGCAGCAGUGGGGAAUAUUGCACAAUGGGCGCAAGCCUGAUGCAGCCAUGCCGCGUGUAUGAAGAAGGCCUUCGGGUUGUAAAGUACUUUCAGCGGGGAGGAAGGGAGUAAAGUUAAUACCUUUGCUCAUUGACGUUACCCGCAGAAGAAGCACCGGCUAACUCCGUGCCAGCAGCCGCGGUAAUACGGAGGGUGCAAGCGUUAAUCGGAAUUACUGGGCGUAAAGCGCACGCAGGCGGUUUGUUAAGUCAGAUGUGAAAUCCCCGGGCUCAACCUGGGAACUGCAUCUGAUACUGGCAAGCUUGAGUCUCGUAGAGGGGGGUAGAAUUCCAGGUGUAGCGGUGAAAUGCGUAGAGAUCUGGAGGAAUACCGGUGGCGAAGGCGGCCCCCUGGACGAAGACUGACGCUCAGGUGCGAAAGCGUGGGGAGCAAACAGGAUUAGAUACCCUGGUAGUCCACGCCGUAAACGAUGUCGACUUGGAGGUUGUGCCCUUGAGGCGUGGCUUCCGGAGCUAACGCGUUAAGUCGACCGCCUGGGGAGUACGGCCGCAAGGUUAAAACUCAAAUGAAUUGACGGGGGCCCGCACAAGCGGUGGAGCAUGUGGUUUAAUUCGAUGCAACGCGAAGAACCUUACCUGGUCUUGACAUCCACGGAAGUUUUCAGAGAUGAGAAUGUGCCUUCGGGAACCGUGAGACAGGUGCUGCAUGGCUGUCGUCAGCUCGUGUUGUGAAAUGUUGGGUUAAGUCCCGCAACGAGCGCAACCCUUAUCCUUUGUUGCCAGCGGUCCGGCCGGGAACUCAAAGGAGACUGCCAGUGAUAAACUGGAGGAAGGUGGGGAUGACGUCAAGUCAUCAUGGCCCUUACGACCAGGGCUACACACGUGCUACAAUGGCGCAUACAAAGAGAAGCGACCUCGCGAGAGCAAGCGGACCUCAUAAAGUGCGUCGUAGUCCGGAUUGGAGUCUGCAACUCGACUCCAUGAAGUCGGAAUCGCUAGUAAUCGUGGAUCAGAAUGCCACGGUGAAUACGUUCCCGGGCCUUGUACACACCGCCCGUCACACCAUGGGAGUGGGUUGCAAAAGAAGUAGGUAGCUUAACCUUCGGGAGGGCGCUUACCACUUUGUGAUUCAUGACUGGGGUGAAGUCGUAACAAGGUAACCGUAGGGGAACCUGCGGUUGGAUCACCUCCUUA
rnacentral:rRNA from 2 species